rnacentral:rRNA from 1 species
GACGAACGCUGGCGGCGUGCUUAACACAUGCAAGUCGAACGAAGUGGCGAACGGGUGAGUAACGCGUAAUCAACCUGCCCUUCAGAGGGGGACAACAGUUGGAAACGACUGCUAAUACCGCAUACUGAAGGAGGGGAUUGCGUCUGAUUAGCUAGUUGGAGGGGUAACGGCCCACCAAGGCGAUGAUCAGUAGCCGGUCUGGGAGGAUGAACCGCCACAAUGGGACUGAGAAACGGCCCAGACUCCCACGGGAGGCAGCAGUGGGGAAUCUUUCGCAAUGGACGAAAGUCCUACGGAGCAACGCCGGCUGAGUGAUGACGGCUUUCGGGUUGUAAAGCUCUGUUAAUCGGGACGCGGUACCGGAAUAGAAAGCCACGGCUAACUACGUGCCAGCAGCCGCGGUAAUUC